GAUGAAGAACGCAGCGAAAUGCGAUAAGUAAUGCGAAUUGCAGAAUUCCAGUGAGUCAUCGAAUCUUUGAACGCACAUUGCGCCCCCUGGUAUUCCGGGGGGCAUGCCUGUCCGAGCGUCAUUACAACCCUCAAGCUCAGCUUGGUGUUGGGCCCCGCCGCCCCGGCGGGCCCUAAAGUCAGUGGCGGUGCCGUCCGGCUCCGAGCGUAGUAAUUCUUCUCGCUCUGGAGGUCCGGUCGUGUGCUCGCCAGCAACCCCCAAUUUUUUUCAGGUUGACCUCGGAUCAGGUAGGGAUACCCGCUGAACUUAAGCAUAUCAAUAAGCGGAGGG
rnacentral:misc_RNA from 1 species